rnacentral:hammerhead_ribozyme from 1 species
GCACUGCUGAGGAGUCCCACAAUAGGACGAAACGGCAGUCCAGUAC